UGUAACUGUGACUCUAUAUUGCAGUCCUUGACAAAGGUUUUGUAAGUGAUCUGUUGCCCAUGUGGUUAUAUCAGUUAUUGAUGAAUGAUGUUUCUUGAUACAGUGCCAUUUGAAGAAUCAGAGAUCAUGGGUGUUUAUCUUUGUUUUCAGCUC